GUAUUUUCUCUCUGCGCUUCCAUCUCCACUGGAUCGUUGGUUCAGGACCCAAGGAUAUGCUGAGGAAAUCGAAAACACAGACACAAAAUCAAUAUGACAAGAAGACGUGGGAACCCAUACAGCAUCACCAUCAGAGGCUUUUUUAAAGAGCAAGCUGUAGUCAUGCUGCAAUUUGGAGGAGCAUUUCCACAACCGGCAGGGUCAGCAGCUGUACACCUUCUGCUGUCUGGCACCAGAAGAGCAUCUGCAUUAGCUUCUACAUCAAUAUGGGUAAGUAUCUCAUCUUCUGCCAGACAGGCUGCUCCCUCUGGGCAUUUCAUGAACUUUUCCAAGUAUAUUUUGUGUAAAAUCUGUCUAAAGAUACCACAUUUUACACAUUCCUGCAGACAGCUGUGUAUAAAAUGGACAUGGGGAAACUGCAGGAGUUAGGCUACAUCCUUACUACUGUGUUUCUUUUAUUCAAAUAUAACAUCAAAUAUUUUUUAUAGAAAAACCAAACAAUCUGCAGCCUUUCAGCUCCAUAUCAGAAGUAUGUGAUCUAUCAGGCAAAAUGUACACCCAUGUGCUGGUGUAAACAGGAAGCUGAUUCUCUCCUUUGCAGUUGUAGAGUUUUCAAACAAAAUGUGAGGUAACUUCAGUAGAGCUUAAGAACAGGGUAAUGUUGACAGCAGUUCCAUCCAACAAAAAUGGAGUGAUUUGGAUAGAGGCAUGAUUGCCAGAGUGUUUUUGAGUUCAAUGAUUUACAUCUAAAAAAUCCAGCCAAUGUGUGUAACUGUCAUAUCCACAUUACAUGGGAGUGGGUUUUCCUACAUCCUUAAUAGAAAGUGACUGAGCUCCAGUCUCCAGUUAACCAAACCCCAAUCUGCAUGUUUUUGGACUGUGGAAGGAAGAAGCCAGAGAAACUUGACACAAACAUGAGAAUAACAUGCAAACUAUUUCUGACUGUGAUUUAAGCACUUUUACUUUUGAGAAGUGUCAAGAGAAUCACUUAAGAAAGUGAAAAAAAAUGAAUCUUAUUAUUUGUCAAAAACCCUAGCGACACAUUGACAC